rnacentral:rRNA from 1 species
UGGGGAAUAUUGCACAAUGGGCGCAAGCCUGAUGCAGCCAUGCCGCGUGUAUGAAGAAGGCCUUCGGGUUGUAAAGUACUUUCAGCGGGGAGGAAGGCGAUAAGGUUAAUAACCUUGUCGAUUGACGUUACCCGCAGAAGAAGCACCGGCUAACUCCGUGCCAACAGCCGCGGUAAUACGGAGGGUGCAAGCGUUAAUCGGAAUUACUGGGCGUAAAGCGCACGCAGGCGGUCUGUCAAGUCGGAUGUGAAAUCCCCGGGCUCAACCUGGGAACUGCAUUCGAAACUGGCAGGCUAGAGUCUUGUAGAGGGGGGUAGAAUUCCAGGUGUAGCGGUGAAAUGCGUAGAGAUCUGGAGGAAUACCGGUGGCGAAGGCGGCCCCCUGGACAAAGACUGACGCUCAGGUGCGAAAGCGUGGGGAGCAAACA